rnacentral:rRNA from 1 species
GACGAACGCUGGCGGCGUGCUUAACACAUGCAAGUCGAACGGAAAGGCCCCUUUGGGGGUCCUCGAGUGGCGAACGGGUGAGUAACACGUGCGUAACCUGCCCUUGACUUCGGGAUAACUUCAGGAAACUGGGGCUAAUACCGGCUAGGAAUCCUUGCUGCAUGGUGGGGGUUGGAAAGCUUCGGCGGUUGUGGGUGGACUCGCGGCCUAUCAGCUUGUUGGUGGGGUAGUGGCUUACCAAGGCAUUGACGGGUAGCCGGCCUGAGAGGGCGACCGGCCACAUUGGGACUGAGAUACGGCCCAGACUCCUACGGGAGGGAGCAGUGGGGAAUAUUGCACAAUGGGCGGGAGCCUGAUGCAGCAAAGCCGCGUGCGGGAUGACGGCCUUCGGGUUGUAAACCGCUUUCAGCAGGGGCGAAGCUUGUGGUGACGGUACCUGCAGAAGAAGCACCGGCUAACUACGUG